rnacentral:rRNA from 1 species
GACAGAGGGUGCAAACGUUGCUCGGAAUCACUGGGCGAAAGGGCGUGUAGGCGGGGCAGGUAAGUCGGGCGUGAAAUCCCUGGGCUCAACCCAGGAACUGCACUCGAAACUACUUGUCUUGAGUGUCGGAGAGGAAAGCGGAAUUCCUGGUGUAGAGGUGAAAUUCGUAGAUAUCAGGAGGAACACCAGUGGCGAAGGCGGCUUUCUGGA